rnacentral:rRNA from 1 species
GACGAACGCUGGCGGCGUGCCUAAUACAUGCAGGUCGAGCGGAAUGAUGAAGAAGCUUGCUUCUUCUGAUUUUAGCGGCGGACGGGUGAGUAACACGUGGGCAACCUACCUUGUAGAUUGGGAUAACUCCGGGAAACCGGGGCUAAUACCGAAUAAUCCAUUUUGCUUCAUGGCGAGAUGUUGAAAGACGGUUUCGGCUGUCACUACAAGAUGGGCCCGCGGCGCAUUAGCUAGUUGGUAGGGUAAUGGCCUACCAAGGCGACGAUGCGUAGCCGACCUGAGAGGGUGAUCGGCCACACUGGGACUGAGACACGGCCCAGACUCCUACGGGAGGCAGCAGUAGGGAAUCUUCCACAAUGGACGAAAGUCUGAUGGAGCAACGCCGCGUGAGUGAAGAAGGUUUUCGGAUCGUAAAACUCUGUUGUAAGGGAAGAACACGUACGAGAGUAACUGCUCGUACCUUGACGGUACCUUAUUAGAAAGCCACGGCUAACUACGUG